rnacentral:misc_RNA from 1 species
UUUUUUUGUUUUGUUUUUGUUACAUUCUUUAACUUGGAGUUUAAAAUGAAGCCGCUCGAUCUAUUCAACGCUUUCGCACUUUCAAAAUCGAACCAAAUAGUGCACAGUGUUGGAGAGUGGAGGUCAGGCCUCUUACGCGAAGUAAGAGCACCCUAAAAUUCACUAAUGAUCCUUCCGCAGGUUCACCUACGGAAA